rnacentral:lncRNA from 1 species
CUGAUUGCUAUGAGAUAUUGGAUCAUUAUUCUCUUUGAGUUCGAUAUCGUAGUUUGCAUGAAGGGAAGAGUUUUUUUUUUUUUGUUUUUUGUUUUGUAAUGAAUGGGUAUUGUUUGAUUGGGUUUGUUUAUAUCAUCUUUUUUUUUUUUUUGCUUUUCUCUGAUAAUAUGAAACAGUUUAAUUCACCAAAUGUAAAAAGGCAUGCAAUUGACCUCCACAAGGGGAUCUUAGAUCAUUAGGAAGCUCUUGCAAACAAUCCCAGGUUUCGUACCAUUAUUUAGUUCUACCAGCAUAAUCUAACCAAUUUACUAUAGAUUUUUCAUAUCACCUACAUCAUAGAUUAUUUUUUCCAGGAAUUUCCAGAAAGCAUUUUAUUUCAAUUGUUCAAUUGGAUAAACCCUUAAAAAUUCAAUUUAAGCCCUAGAAUCCUAAACCCUAGGUUAGGCAGUAUUCAUCCAUUACUUAUUUACUUUGAAAACAUCACCGUUUUAGUUCAGUUUUCUUGAAAAUUCAACUCUUAACCUGAAAUUCCAGUAAUACAUGGAUAUCAGCCCUAUUGUAAACCCUAAUCAGGUCUUUUUUUCUCUACUGUCCUCCAUCACUGAUGCUAACCUUCAAUUGCCGCAUAUUUUCCCACCUCAUAGGAGCAUAACCAUGAAGUUUAAUGGCACAAUUUUUACCUUUCUAUGCUCAGGGAUAUCCAUCAUAUCAGAAUAGCACUCCACUUAGCGAUAUCCAUCACAUUAAAAAAAAAAAACUCCACCAUCAUGAGCCACUUGAUAAGUCCUUUGGAUGGAUUGCCAUGGAAUUCUUGAAUUUCCACUUUUAUGCCAUAAAAGCCAGUGUGGUCUCAGAAGCCACGCUCCGCACAUUUGUUCGCCUUCUUUUGAUGUAAAGCUUGGUGGUGGAAGGGGUUUUAAGUGCCAG